rnacentral:lncRNA from 1 species
GAUGAAUAAAAUACUUCAGAGGCUUCUAGUGCAUGGAUUUCCUGGAAUCUAUUCAGAGACCUAUCUUGUUUACUUCUGGUUCUUCAGCUAUAUUUUAGAAAGGCAAAUGCAUAUAAAUUAGAUUUUGCUAAUGUUAUCUUUUAGCCUUGGAAAGAUUUUUAUUUCGUUGAUUGGAGCCUUUGUAUUUUAUGGAAUUUUUUUUUAAGGUUUUUGUUGGAAAAUUUCAAACAAACCAACAAGAAAGAGAAUAGUAUAAAGAACUCUUAUGUACCCAUUACCCACCUUCAGUAUUUCUCGGUGUCUUGACAAAAUUAUUUCAUGUAUUCACCCUAUGGUAUCAUAAUACCUAAAAACUUUGAAAAUAAUGGAGUUCUCAUGCUGUCAGGGACAGGGAUAUAUUUGGCAUAUAUUUCAUUGGCAACGGUGGAACAAAUUAGGAAGCUAUAGCUUUUAUGACUGAGGAAAUAAGAAUUUUUAUUCCAACCAAUAAAUUUUUUUUAUUUUUUAUUCUUAGUUGUAGAUGGACACAAAAUACCUUUUUCUUUUUAAUGUGGUGCUGAGGAUUGAACCCAGUUCCUCACACAUUACCACUGAACCACAACCCCAGCCCUAAAUUUUUUUUUUUUUACAUUUUUUUAGUUGUUGAUGGACC